GACGAGCGCUGGCGGCGUGCCUAAUACAUGCAAGUAGAACGCUGAAGGAGGAGCUUGCUUCUCUGGAUGAGUUGCGAACGGGUGAGUAACGCGUAGGUAACCUGCCUGGUAGCGGGGGAUAACUAUUGGAAACGAUAGCUAAUACCGCAUAAUAGUAGAUGUUGCAUGACAUUUGCUUAAAAGGUGCAAUUGCAUCACUACCAGAUGGACCUGCGUUGUAUUAGCUAGUUGGUGGGGUAACGGCUCACCAAGGCGACGAUACAUAGCCGACCUGAGAGGGUGAUCGGCCACACUGGGACUGAGACACGGCCCAGACUCCUACGGGAGGCAGCAGUAGGGAAUCUUCGGCAAUGGACGGAAGUCUGACCGAGCAACGCCGCGUGAGUGAAGAAGGUUUUCGGAUCGUAAAGCUCUGUUGUAAGAGAAGAACGAGUGUGAGAGUGGAAAGUUCACACUGUGACGGUAUCUUACCAGAAAGGGACGGCUAACUACGUG
rnacentral:rRNA from 1 species